rnacentral:rRNA from 1 species
UUACCCGCUGAAUUUAAGCAUAUCAAUAAGCGGUGGAAAAGAAACCAACAGGGAUUCCCUUAGUAACGGCGAGCGAACAGGGAAGAGCCCAGUAUGAAAAUCUCCAGCCUUUGGCUGGCGAAUUGUAGUCUGGAGGAGCGCUCCCUGGGUGGGUGCUGGCCGAAGUAUACUGGAAGGUAUCGCUAUAGAGGGUGAGAGCCCCGUAGGCCAGUUAACCCGUCCUUCACGGGACGCUUUCAAAGAGUCGCGUUGUUUGGGAAUACAGCGCUAAUUGGGUGGUAAACCCCAUCUAAGGCUAAAUAUCAAUGGGAGACCGAUAGCGAAAAAGUACCUCGAGGGAACGAUGAAAAGACCGCUGGCAAGCGAGUAAAAGAGUGCAUGAAAUUGUGUAGCGGGAAGGGAUGGCCUGGUAGCAUGCGCCCGGGUUGAUGUGGUUCGCAAGAGCUGCUGUCUGCACUGGGUGCUGGCUGGUACCGGCGCCCUUGGCCGUACAAUACUCUGCUGAGGUGCAGAGCACUGCGGGCGAGGGUGCCGAGGCUGAUCAGUUGCUUUGCCCCUUCGGGGAGCUGCUCUGACAGGUUGCAGU